rnacentral:rRNA from 1 species
UACGUAGGUGGCAAGCGUUGUUCGGAAUUAUUGGGCGUAAAGGGCGCGUAGGCGGUCUUGUAAGUCAGCUGUGAAAGCCCGGGGCUCAACCCCGGAGGGUCGGCUGAUACUGCAGGACUGGAGUACGGAAGAGGUAGCUGGAAUUCCCGGUGUAGCGGUGAAAUGCGUAGAUAUCUGGAGGAACACCGGUGGCGAAGGCGGCAUCCUGGACCGAUACUGACGCUGAGGAGCGAAAGCCAGGGGAGCAAACGGG